rfam:Desulfosporosinus sp. Tol-M Desulfosporosinus_sp._Tol-M_contig_862, whole genome shotgun sequence.
CGGGGCGUGGCGCAGUUUGGUAGCGUGCUUGGUUCGGGACCAAGAGGCCGUGGGUUCGAAUCCCGUCGCCCCGA